rnacentral:rRNA from 1 species
AUUGAACGCUGGCGGCAGGCCUAACACAUGCAAGUCGAGCGGAUGAAGGGAGCUUGCUCCUGGAUUCAGCGGCGGACGGGUGAGUAAUGCCUAGGAAUCUGCCUGUAGUGGGGGAUAACGUCCGGAAACGGGCGCUAAUACCGCAUACGUCCUGAGGGAGAAAGUGGGGGAUCUUCGGACCUCACGCUAUCAGAUGAGCCUAGGUCGGAUUAGCUAGUUGGUGGGGUAAAGGCCUGCCAAGGCGACGAUCCGUAACUGGUCUGAGAGGAUGAUCAGGCACACUGGAACUGAGACACGGUCCAGACUCCUACGGGAGGCAGCAGUGGGGAAUAUUGGACAAUGGGCGAAAGCCUGAUCCAGCCAUGCCGCGUGUGUGAAGAAGGUCUUCGGAUUGUAAAGCACUUUAAGUUGGGAGGAAGGGCAGUAAGUUAAUACCUUGCUGUUUUGACGUUACCAACAGAAUAAGCACCGGCUAACUUCGUG